rnacentral:rRNA from 1 species
UCGUGAGACAGUUCGGUCCCUAUCUGCCGUGGACGUUUGAGAUUUGAGAGGGGCUGCUCCUAGUACGAGAGGACCGGAGUGGACGAACCUCUGGUGUUCCGGUUGUCACGCCAGUGGCAUUGCCGGGUAGCUAUGUUCGGAAGAGAUAACCGCUGAAAGCAUCUAAGCGGGAAACUUGCCUCAAGAUGAGAUCUCACUGGGAUCUUGAAUCCCCUAAAGGGCCGUCGAAGACUACGACGUUGAUAGGUUGGGUGUGUAAGCGCUGUGAGGCGUUGAGCUAACCAAUACUAAUUGCCCGUGAGGCUUGACCAU